AGAAUCAACGCUGGCGGCGUGCCUAACACAUGCAAGUCGCACGAGAAAGGGACUUCGGUCCUGAGUACAGUGGCGCACGGGUGAGUAACACGUGAAUAAUCUACCUCCGAGUGGGGAAUAACUGAGAGAAAUCUUAGCUAAUACCGCAUAACACUUACGAGUCAAAGCAGCAAUGCGCUUGGAGAGGAGUUCGCGGCAGAUUAGUUAGUUGGCGGGGUAAUGGCCACCAAGACGAUGAUCUGUAUCCGGCCUGAGAGGGCGCACGGACACACUGGAACUGAAACACGGUCCAGACUCCUACGGAGGCAGCAGUGGGGAAUUUUGCGCAAUGGGGGAAACCCUGACGCAGCAACGCCGCGUGGAGGAUGAAAUAUCUUGGUAUGUAAACUCCUUUCGAUGGGGAAGAUAAUGACGGUACCCAUAGAAGAAGCCCCGGCUAACUUCGUGCCAGCAGCCGCGGUAA
rnacentral:rRNA from 1 species